rnacentral:rRNA from 1 species
AUUGAACGCUGGCGGCAGGCCUAACACAUGCAAGUCGAGCGGAGCGGCGGACGGGUGAGUAAUGCCUAGGAAUCUGCCUGGUAGUGGGGGAUAACGUCCGGAAACGGGCGCUAAUACCGCAUACUAUCAGAUGAGCCUAGGUCGGAUUAGCUAGUUGGUGGGGUAAAGGCCUACCAAGGCGACGAUCCGUAACUGGUCUGAGAGGAUGAUCAGUCACAAUGGAACUGAGACACGGUCCAGCCUCCUACGGAAGGCAGCAGUGGGGAAUAUUGGAAAAUGGGCGCAAGCCUGAUCCAGCCAUGCAGCGUGUGUGAAGAAGGUCUUCGGAUUGUAAAGCACUUUCAGCGGGGAGGCGUUACCCGCAGAAGAAGCACCGGCUAACUCCGUGCCAGCAGCCGCGGUAAUAC